rnacentral:lncRNA from 1 species
UGACAGUCUGCCUGUGGUUCUAUUAUUCUAACCAUAGUAUGUAUCACCCCAGGCUUGGGUAGAACAUAAAUCUAUUAACUGGAAGUUGGACUCAUCUGUAUCCCAUUACCUUGGACUUUCAGCAAUGUCUUUGGGUGUUAAAAGGCUCUGCUGCCUUUGCUUUCACUACCGGCUUUGCAUGCGAGAUCUUCUCUCACUGUCAGUCCACAGUACUCAGCACUGGACACACUACUGAAUGAUCUACUCAGCCUCUCUUAGUUUCUUAGCUCAAAGAAGGAAAGGAGAAAAAAAAUGUCUUUUUGAUCUACUUGCUUCCAUGAGAAAUCACAGUGAGUGUAUCCUUUUACCUACAGCAGGAACCCACAGGACUGUCUUUCCCAUAACCAGAAGAAGGUCCCAUCAACUAUUUCUCGAAGUAUGGAGGGGCCUAAGGAGAUGAAGAGGUGAAUUUGGUGUUUCCCAAACUGAGUAACAUACUCAAGGACAAUGCCCCCCCCCGGGGCAAAACUUAAAGAGGUUGGCCUCCAGAACAGCAGUAGGCAGGUAGGUGAUACAGUGCAUAGACUGCUGAGCCCAAAGUCAAGAACACCUGAGUUCAAAUCCAACCACUGACACUUAUUAGUUGUGUGUGUGUGACCCUAGAUAAGUCACUUAACCUUUGUCUGCUACAGGUUCUGCAUCUGUAAAAAGGGGAUGACCACCCGCCCAGGGUUGUUGUGUGGAUCAAAUGUGAUGGAGCAUUUUUACAAACCUUAAAGCACUAUAGAAACGGAAAGGGUUUUUGUUUUUUUUGUUUUGCUUUUUGGUGAUGUAAUCAGGGUUAAGUGGCUUGCCCAGGGUCACACAGCUAGUAAGUGUCAA